ACAAUUUUACGAACCGUGUCUUCUAAGAAUUUGAAACAUUUCUCAUAUUAGUUUAAAACAAAUUGAAGCAAAUUAUAAAAAACAUUGAAUAUUUUAGUCUAAAAGUGAACUAUUCAUUAUCGAGAAUAACAAAAUAAAUCGAUUUGCAUACAAUUUUUAACUUAGAGCGAGUUUACACCCGAAAACUUUUGUUGCUCGUUUUUGGAAUAUUCUCGUCUGGUGUUCUGCAAUCUUUUUGAUAUCAUAUUAUCAAAUUUUUGUACGCUUCAUUUAAAAUGUGCACAAAAAUAUUUUUCUUAAGAUAAUUUUUAUCUUUAUUCUUAAUUUUCAAAAACACUUCCAAUAUAAUAAAGAUAUUUGCAUAUUUAUAUUCUAUUUAAAAAGUUUAUGAUUAAAUUAAAUUUUCCUCGACGUGCCCUCGCCUACAGUUUGGGCGAUAAAAGGCGAAGUGUGUCAAUGCGCGCUUAAUCCUUUUAAAGUAUCGAUAAGUCGUUGUAUUCAUAUAUUGUGUAUCGCCCACCCCUACAUGUACUCAUUUUGAAAUUGUCAGACGGAUUGGAUGGAUUGGAAAAAUUUACUGCGACAUAAUUGGAGAAAUUUCAAGGAUUUUGGUGAAUAUAGUGUGUGAAAAAUUUAAUAAUAAAUUAAUUAGUGAUUAAUUAAAAUGAGUUGCUCAAAGAGGCAUUUGAAACGCCUUUUAAAGCUAAAAAAGAGUUUUAUACAGAGCAAUUAGCCGUUAAAAAUGAGGAAUCAGUACGAGUUCGGGGAAACGAUGCCGCUACCGAGAAUAUUGCGCAUUGUAAUUCUUUUCAUAGUACUGAUGCCACUAGGGAAAAGCUUCCAUUAAAGAAAUUUGCCACAUAACGACCAAUUAUUUUUUAUACCAAUAUUACAUGGCUGCACUAAUUAACGUUUUUAAUUUUGUUUUCAUAUACAUACUUACAUACAUAUGUAAAUAUUUGGAGUUGCUACAUAAGGAAAAAAUAUGGAAACAGCUGGAAAGCUUCGCCGGAUGAACGCCGGAAUACCCCAAUCAUUUUUAGAUAGCUUCAAUGAUGGUUGCGAUAAGUGCAACAACCUUCAAAAAUUAUUUGUGGACAAAAUUACAAAAUUGGGAGAAUUAAUUGAAAAACAAAACAAAGUGAUCAUUAAUAUUUUGGCGGAACAUGCCAUUUUGUUACAAAAUCUAACUCAAAAGGAGAAGGAAACUGUUGGAGCUAUUUCCUAUCAAAACAGAUGAUGAUAUCGUGAAAUUAGAGGUGGAAAUAAAUGAUGAUAAUAGAGAUUUCUAUAUUUCAGCAGUGAAAUACUUGUUACAAGGAGAGGUUGUAAAAAAUUUCGAAAAGGUUUUGGCGCGUAAAUUUUGCCUUGAAUACAACAUUAAUGGAAUUGGCAACAAAAAGAGCUUUAAGGAUUAUUCUAUGGUGUAUACCAUACUUUAAAGUAUGGACAAUUGCGGACGUGGUCCAAACAUAUGGAAAAAAUAUAGUUACAUUAACAUUGCGAUGUCAUUGGACAUGACCACAUCUGGUCCAACGCUGCAUAACAUAGGACCACCUACCAAACUACCUCCUUUGGUCCAACAUAUAUUAUGCUUACACAAGACCAUUGCGUUCUCGACCACCUACGAAACUACUUCGUCUAGUCCAUAUUCUAAUUACACUAGACCAUGGCAUACUCUACUUACUAUUAUUGUGGUCCAAAUGGACCACAUUUUUGAGCCAUUUCCAAUAAAAAUUUUUAAACGCUGUUUUUA